rnacentral:rRNA from 1 species
AGAUUGAACGCUGGCGGCAUGCCUUACACAUGCAAGUCGAACGGCAGCACGGGAGCAAUCCUGGUGGCGAGUGGCGAACGGGUGAGUAAUAUAUCGGAACGUGCCCAGUCGUGGGGGAUAACGCAGCGAAAGCUGUGCUAAUACCGCAUACGAUCUAUGGAUGAAAGCGGGGGACCGAAAGGCCUCGCGCGAUUGGAGCGGCCGAUGUCAGAUUAGCUAGUUGGUGGGGUAAAGGCCCACCAAGGCGACGAUCUGUAGCUGGUCUGAGAGGACGACCAGCCACACUGGAACUGAGACACGGUCCAGACUCCUACGGAGGCAGCAGUGGGAAUUUUGGACAAUGGGCGCAAGCCUGAUCCAGCAAUGCCGCGUGCAGGAAGAAGGCCUUCGGUUGUAAACUUGCUUUAGUACGGUAACGAACGGUACUAGGUUAAUACCGUCGGUCUAAGUGACGGUACCGUAAGAAUAAGCACGGACUAACUACGUGCCAGCAGACCG